UGGGUAACUGCCGGAGGGUGCUGGGGAGCCGCUGGAAGCAGCCACACCAGCAUGUGCCCUGACCCCUACAGUGGCUAGCCAUAGACAUACCUCAUGGGAACAUGCUUAGAUGGGUUGAACUUCCGGCUCCUCCCCACCGUGAACAGCCUGCUUUGGGUCAUGGUGGCCUUGCUUCCUCAGUACAAAGGCACAAAUGAAAGCCACCACGAAGAUUGUCCCGUGGGCGCAUCUGGUGAACACAUGUCCUGACAUUUCCUAGAAAUAUCCCAGUAAAUAAAAACAGUGGAGACCA